AUCUUUGCGCUUGGGGCAAUGACGCAGUUAGUGAGGUGAACCGAGACACGUCAAUUGCUCGUUGAAAACUAUUUCCAAACUAU
rnacentral:snRNA from 1 species